AUGAGCUGUCAAUCGGAUAAUGCCUGCCUAUCAUGUUCUCUAAAUCUCGCAACUGUCCCUAACCCCACCAGCAAACUAGUGAGGACCACAAGGGUGAGGCGACAGGUUCCCGAAGGUGGGGGUCCGUCUAGCAACCAGACCCAGGCCAUGAUCUUCAAUCAUGUAUACAACAUCAAUGUACCUCUAGAGUCACUCUGUUCAGUGGACCUAGACACGGUACCAGGGCCAGGGACAAACAAAGGUACAGCUGGGAGUGACAAGAUGCCGACAGAGUACACAGAAGAGACAGUGGACUCGGACAGCCAGGUGACCUUCACCCAUCGCAUCAAUAUCCCAAAGCAGGCCUGUGCUUGUCCUGUGGCUGUGGCCAUGGAACAGCUGGCUAACCGUAUAGAGAUGCUGGAGAGGGAGGUAUCCUUGCUUCGAGCACAGUGUAGCUCCAGCUGCUGUGGAGAGAGCUCUGUUAUGGGUCAGUUCGACUUCGUCCCUCAGUGUGGCCAUGGCACGUUCAGCAUGGAGGUUUGUGGGUGUGUUUGUGAAGAAGGAUGGAUUGGCAAGAACUGCUCUGAAGCCCGCUGCCCAGAUGACUGCUCUGGCCAGGGCAUUUGCAUCGAAGGCGAGUGUGUAUGUGACCAUAACUUUGGCGGUGAGAACUGCUCGGAGCCUCGAUGUCCAGAAGGAUAUGCAGGCGAUGACUGUGCUUCAGGUCAGUCAAGAAAGGUUUGUAGUGUUUUUUUUGUUUGUUUUUUCUCAAACAUUGUAUAUUGUGUGUGUGUGUGUGUGUGUGUGUUGUCACCUCCUAUGAACCUGCAAGUUCAGGGAGUAUCAGAGAAUACCAUUGAUCUGGAGUGGGAGGGGCCUGUGAUCCUGACAGACUAUCUCAUCACUUAUGCCCCCACAACCCCUGGUGGAGUCCAACUAGAGAUCAGAGUCCCAGGAAAUGUUACCAACACCACCAUCAAAGAAUUGGAGCCGGGUCUGGAAUACAACAUCAAUGUGUACGCAGUGAUCGACGACAUCAUCAGUGCCCCACUGAACACCUUAGUCUCCACCUAUCUCUCGAAUCCAGACGGUUUACUCUUCAAAUCCAUCAUGGAGACGUCCGUGGAGGUUCAGUGGCAACCCUUAGACUACUUGUUUGAUGGUUGGGAAAUAAGCUUCAUUCCCAAGGACAAUGAUGGAGGGAUGACAGCACAACUACCCAGUACCAUCACGUCGUUCCACCAAACAGGGCUGCGGCCUGGGGAAGAAUACACUGUCAACCUGGUGGCCUUGAAAGACCAGGGAAGGAGCCAGCCUGUUACUGCAACCGUUAUAACACUGAUUGAUGGGCCAACACAACUUAUUGUACGAGAUGUCUUAGACACGGUUGCCUUUGUGGAGUGGAGCCCACCCAAGGCUAAAGUGGACCAGAUCAUAUUGCGGUAUGGGUUGGUAGGGGUGGAUGGACCAAAGACAACAUUUCGCCUGCAGCCUACUCUGAGCCAGUACUCCCUCCAAGUCCUGAGGCCUGGAUCCACGUAUGAAGUAUCAGUCAGUGGAGUCCGGAAUGGCACUGAGAGUGGAGCCAUUUCCACAGAGUUUACCACAGAAAUCGAUGCACCAAAGAACCUGAGAGUUCUGUCAAAAACUUCCACUAGCCUGGAGCUGGAAUGGGACAAUAGUGAGGCAGAUGUAGAAGGCUACAGGGUGGUUUACAGCACACUGGCUGGUGAUCAGUAUGAUAAAGUCAUUGUCCCACUCAACGAUGGCGCCACCACCAAAACUACUCUCACUGAUUUACUCCCUGGCACAGAGUAUGGCAUAGGAAUUUCAGCAGUUCUAGGUGCCAACCAAAGCACCCCAGCUACGAUGAAUGCCAGAACGGGUCUGGAUGUCCCCUUGGAUUUGACUGUCACAGCCUCCACAGACAACACCAUCACCCUGUUGUGGGGGACAGUGCAGGGGCCUAUUGAUCACUAUAGGGUGACCUACACUUCCUCCACUGGAGUGACAACUGAGCUGACGGUGCCCAAGGAUGUCACCACCACCACACUGACAGGUCUAGAGCCAGGCACUGAGUACACCAUUACAGUUGCAGCACAGAGAGGCAGGCAGAAGAGCACUGCAGCCACUAUUGAUGCCUUCACAGGGUUCCGCCCUAUCACACAGUUCUUCUUCUCUGAUGUCACUUCUGAUUCACUGACUGUGGCAUGGAGUGCACCGGCACCGCCUGCUGACGCAUUUAUCUUGAACUACAAUGCUCAGGACUCCACUGAUGAUUCUGAGAUUCCUCUAGACGGGUCCAAAACCAGAAUCACCCUCACUGGUCUCCUGCCCUCCAGGCGGUACACUGUUACCUUGGUUACCAUGCAUGGCAAUGUGACCUCAAAGCCAGUUAUUGGCUCAGUCACAACAGGAAUGGACCCUCCCCGAGAUAUGACUAUGCUGUAUGUCACAGAAGACUCUGUAACCAUUUCAUGGAUUCAACCAUACGCACCCUUUGAUUACUACAAAAUGUCUUACCAAUCACCAAAAGGUAGGAUGGACAAUGUGGUGAUUGACAAUGAUGUCACCAACUACACCUUAACUAGCCUUCAUCCAGCAACAGAGUAUGAAAUCAAGCUGAACGCAGUGAGGGGAAGCCAAGAGAGCAAGGUCAUCACCACUACUGUCUUCACAGCUAUGGACAUGCCUAUGGACCUCACUGCACUGAAUGUUACACCUCAGGGGUCUCUGCUACGUUGGAACCCCCCUGUUUCCAGUGUUGAUAACUACGUGGUCACUCUCACCCGUAACCAAGACACCUUCUUAGUGGAGGGUAACAAGCAGGAGUACCAGCUGGGUCAACUCAUCCCCAGCACCACCUACUCAGUGGCUCUUUAUGCCACUAAAGGUCCUCUCACCAGUGGCACCGUCAUCACCAACUUUGUCACACGUGCAAAUCUUCCACAUUUACAAAUUCACUCUAUCACCCUGUCAGCGUUAACAACAUUUUAUACCAUCAACAAGUUCACACUCCAUUGUCAUGGUAGCGAUGCAAAUCACCACUCAUUAACCUACCAGUGGCCCCUCGCUUUCUUUUGCUCGGUUGUUUUAGUUGUUUCUCAACCCUUUCGCUCCUCAGGAAACCGAUUGUUUCCUACGCAAAAGAAUUGUUCGCAGCACCUUCUGAAUGAAGAGACGCUGCGUGGAAUUUACACCAUCUACAUCAACAGAGACUUCAGCGAAGGUGUGCAGGUUUACUGCGACAUGACCACCGACGGAGGCGGCUGGAUAGUGUUCCAGCGACGUCAGAAUGGUUUGACUGAUUUCUCCAGGAAGUGGAGUGACUACAAGAUCGGCUUUGGCAACCUGGAGGAUGAAUUCUGGCUCGGCUUGGACAACAUUCAGAAGAUUGCAGCUCAAGGUCGUUACGAGCUCCGCAUUGACAUGAAAGAUGGCCAGGAGUCUGUAUAUGCCAACUAUGACAGGUUUUCCAUUGGAGAUUCCAAGAGCCUCUACAAACUGAGGAUAGGAGAGUAUAAUGGCACUGCAGGGGACUCUUUGAACUACCAUCAGAGCAGACCUUUCUCUACCAAGGACAAGGACAAUGAUAUUGCUGUCACCAACUGUGCAUUGUCCUACAAGGGAGCCUGGUGGUACAAAAACUGUCAUCGGGCCAACCUUAAUGGCAAAUAUGGAGAGUCCAGACAUAGUCAGGGUAUAAACUGGUAUCACUGGAAAGGCCAUGAGUUUUCCAUCCCUUUUGUGGAGAUGAAGAUGAGACCUUUCAACUACCGCAGCAUCAGUGGCAAGCGGAGGAGGUCCACCCAUUAAUCUACCGUCCUACUAGCUGUUUCUAUUUUUAAACAGGGUGAGGAGGACAGAAGGAGCGAUGUAACUUAUUUAAAUCUUUGAAUGACAAAAUCCCUUUGACGAAUGUCUGAUGUAAAUUGUAAACCUUGAGGUUCAGUGACUUUCUUAUGUGUAAUGCUAUUUGUUCAGUUCUGAGAGAUUGAAGACUAGGUAAGGUUUGGUAUUUUUAGCAUGUGUGCAGUAUGAGGCCUGUGGAAAGAACCUCAUCAUUAAGUGAAGAAAAGAGAUAAUUUCUCCCUUUGAGAUUAAAGAUUUUAGAAGAAAAUUAAUGCCCGUUAAAACGAGAUGCUUAUAUUUUUAUAAAUGAUGAGAAAUGCCUUUAAAAAAGUAACUGAAUGAUUUUUGGUCAGUUUUGAUUCAUGUUCAUGUGACCCAUUACAGUGUUAUAUUUUUCAUUUACUGCCCCCUGAAGCCAACAAUAUUUGUUUAAUUGUUUGUAUUUUCAUCUCAUAUUUAAACUUACAUUAACAGUUGGCCAUUGUACUGUUUCAGCAUUGUAACAGAUGAAAUUGCAAAUGCAGGGUUGUCUGGAAAAGAUGAGACAAAAACACAAAAUGUUUUUAUUAUUAUUAUUGAAACCUCAGAAACCAAAGAAUUAUUUAGUAUCUGAGUUCAAAACAGAUUGAUCUGAAAAAAGGAAUAAUCGCAUGCUUUUCAGUCAUAUAAUGUGCCCCAUGUUUGAUUUUAUUUCAUUUUAAAUUUGACAAUUUUGUGCAAGGCUGAUUAGUAAUACUUUAACAUCAUCUCACAUCAGAGGGUUUUUUUCUUCUUUUUUUUCUUUAGGUAUUAACUGGACUAUGAGCACUGAUAUGUACAUAUGAAAAACUCAAAUGGAGAAUUUUAACAUAGUUAUGUGUCACACUCCAUGCUUUUUAGUGUUUUUGUUCCUGUAGACUUGAAUAAUGGUGUCCAUCUGUGUCUUCGUAAAUCCUCUAGAUUAAUAGCAAUUCAUAAGUGAGUG
ensembl:lncRNA